rnacentral:rRNA from 1 species
UAGGGAAUCUUCGGCAAUGGGGGGAACCCUGACCGAGCAACGCCGCGUGAGUGAAGAAGGUUUUCGGAUCGUAAAGCUCUGUUGUUAAGGAAGAACGAGUGUGAGAAUGGAAAGUUCAUGCUGUGACGGUACUUAACCAGAAAGGGACGGCUAACUACGUGCCAGCAGCCGCGGUAAUACGUAGGUCCCGAGCGUUGUCCGGAUUUAUUGGGCGUAAAGCGAGCGCAGGCGGUUGGAUAAGUCUGAAGUUAAAGGCAGUGGCUCAACCAUUGUAGGCUUUGGAAACUGUUUAACUUGAGUGCAGAAGGGGAGAGUGGAAUUCCAUGUGUAGCGGAGAAAUGCGUAGAUAUAUGGAGGAACACCGGUGGCGAAAGCGGCUCUCUGGUCUGUAACUGACGCUGAGGCUCGAAAGCGUGGGGAGCGAACAGG